CGCCCGCUGCCACAGUCCUCGCGUGUCCGGCCCGGCCCGACCCGGCCCUUGUCCGCGCGCCUGCGGGCGCCGGGUCUCCACCGGCCACGUCGCCGCCACCUGCUGCUGCAGCCCUAGCGAGGGGGAGGCGCAUCUCCGCGGCGCCCCCCUCCCCAUCCGCCCCGGCUCGGUGCGGGCCUUCCCCCACCCCGCCUCGUCCAGGCCCGGGCUGGAGGACGUCUUCCCCGGGGCCCCCUCCCCAGCGCAGAAGGGGAGGCGGAGGGAGGAGCUCCGGCCGCGGCCACCCGCCCUCCCCGCCCCGGAGCUCCCCUCCCCUCCCCUCCCCUUCGCUCGGUUGCCGCAGCCCCGCUAGUCGGGCGCGUCAGCGUGGGCUCCCCGGAGCGAGUCGCUAAGUAACGGGGGCUGGCUCCGCAGACCCCGGGCCGGGGAAACCCGCGCGCGCGUCGUCAGCAGCGGCGCCGCGGGCGGGGGGCGCACGGGCCCUCCGCCAUCCGGGCCUGCGGACCCGAGCUGGCACGCCGCCCGCCUUCCCGGCUCCCUUAAACCCGCGCGGCCGGUCGCCGCCGAGGUGCCCCUCCCCUGCAGGGACCCCGACGCCGCCAGCCUUUCCCUCCUUCCCAGCCGGUGCGCACAGCUCCGCGCGCGGCAGGGUGGGCGCCCCGCGGCCGCGAUCGCCGUCGUCGCCGGUCUUCCUGCCGAGCCCCGCGCGGGGCAUGAGGAGCCCCGGGGCGCCGCCCGGAGACAACCCGGCUGCGCGCACAUCUUGCCAGCGGCGGACGGGGACAUGAGCCGCGCGCACGGGGUCCGGCGCCCGGCGGCCAGCCCCAGCCGGCGGCGGCCAGCGGAUCGGCGGUGCCCGGGAGAAUGAGGCGGGAGCCGGCGGCCGCCUCCUGGUUCUCCACCUCGUCCUCCUCCUCUUCCUCUUCGCCUUCCUCCGGCUCGGGCGCCCUGGGCUCCGGCCGGGCUGUGGCUCUGCUGCGUGCCCCGCGCGCCCCCCCGCCCGCCUCCGGAUGCGCUGCUGGGUUAGUCUGGGGAGGAAGAUAAAGACAUUUGCCACCAAGAUGGUAAUCACAGGUGGAAAUGAUGAAGACAGAGGAGGCCAGGAAAAGGAGAGUAAAGAAGAGAGUGUCUUGGCGAUGCUGGGAAUUAUUGGGACCAUUCUGAACCUGAUCGUCAUCAUAUUUGUAUACAUCUACACCACUCUGUGAAUGGCCCAGUGGGUCCUCAGGCCUCGGGAUGGCCAAAAGACAGGAGGAGUCCUGUGUGUUGGCAGAUCAGUGACCGGACACUGCGCCAACACGCAGCCUUGACCGACACACACCGCUUGAUCAGAUGCACCUUCGAACUUGAUAAAGGGUCACCAAAAUCAACCAACCCUGCUGCGAGGAGCAGACACUAAAGCACAAUGAAUCCACCAAAACUCAUUCACACAGCAAGGAACUCAACGUCGUUGGCAGGGGACCCGAAAGGACGCUUGGAAGACUGCCCUUUGACACCAUCAGGGAGUGGACGGGUGCAGAGAUGGGUUAUCCCAGGGCGCUGACGGAUGUCACGUGUUCAAAAAGAGGAACGGGUGGACACAGCUCACAGCAGACACAGCUCUUGGCCUCUCUCCCAGGACAUGCGUUUCCUCCUAACUCGAUGAACUGUUUGGUACCAAAAAACCACAGGGACAAUCCUUAACAAGCAUCCCAUUCAUCAAAAGUGUCUAACUAUUUGAUACUGGGGAGAUAACUUAUUUUUUCUUUUUUUCAUUGGCUUGAUGUGUGUAUCUGUUCAUAUCAAGGUUUAUAAAUAUAUAUUUUUAAUAAAUGUGCUCUAUUUUUUAGCAUGAACCAAAUAUUUGGAAAGGCACUCCUGGAUCCAUACAGCUUUCCUUGGUUUUACCUGCUGUAUCUACCUUAGACUGCACUUGUUAUGUUGUGUAAUCGCUCUAGUCCUCAUUCUCUCAUUUGGAAUCGUUUCCCUUCUCUCUCCCUCUCGUGCUUUUCGGUCUGGAGGACAUUUUCCCAUAAGACCAGCUGUGAUCUUGGUUGGUGCAUGUUUUAAGAUUGUCCAUUGAGCGACUUUUUGUUGUUAUACUGGAGAUGUAAAACGGUCGUGGGCAUGUGGACUUUGGAUGUACCAUAUCCUUACUGAGAAUUAUGCAUGAACAGGGCUGAGUGAUAUAGAUCAGCUUUAAAAAAUUUUUUUUACAAGGAAUACCAUGGAGGAAGGGCGGGGCUACAUCUGUGGAUCAACUAUAGGAUGGAGUAUUCAGCUUCUCAUUGGCAGCAUUAUUUCAUUCUUGUGACCAUUUGUUGAUGAGAUUUGAUUUUAAUGGCCACAUGCCAUGAAAGAUGGGUGGGAAGGACAAGGGGGGCAAAGCUCAGUGUUAGGAGCGUAAUUCCCUUCGUGAGCCUCCUGGGAGCCUUUGCAAAGUAGGUAGGGGUGUAAAUGACACUUGGACUCCCCCCACCAUAAGAGCUCACCUGGCUGUUUCAGGCUGGGAGGACACCCCUGCAACAGGUGACUUUUCAGGAGCACUAGAAGGGUAUGCAACGUUCACCCCAAAAGAUUGCUACAUUUCUUCAGGCUCCUGGUCUACACCCACAUGAAGCGACUUCCUCCCUGGCAGGGACAGUUGAAUCAGGAUAAAUGUGCCCUGUUCUCCUGCCUCCCUGAGAUGGGGCCUUUCACUGGCUGCAGCGGCAUGGGCUUAUAAAGAAGGUUAGCAUUCCUUCUGCCAGCGCCAGCCUUGCCUGUGGGCAAAAGAAGCAGCAGGCUACCUAGGUGGAGUCGAAUGAUGUCCAGGAGAUCACGGCCAGGUCUCUCUCCCUCCUGAUGUCAUGGUGUCUGAAAUUUCACCCUUAGAGAGUCACUUCUUGGACUGCGUUAGGGACCAGGCACUUUUUAAAGCAGAUGCCCGUGGCACCUGGCCCUCAUCAGGAGUCUCCUCUUCCCCACCAGAAGGAACAGAAGUUGAUGUGUGUUCAGGACACACUGUGUGCUAGGCGUUGUGCCAGACUCUGUAUCCCUUCAGUUAUUGAUGCUCACAGGAAAUGAACUAGAGAGUCUCUGUCCUACAUCAUAGAGAAAGAAAGGGGGACUCACAUGGGGGAGACUUCCCCGAGGUCAGGUAGCUGGUAGUGGUGAGUCAGAACGCAAAUUCCCAGAGCUGUCUGAUUCCCUAGCCCAGUGAGGGGCAUCAAAUGCUGGAAAAGAGGGAAUGGAGAGACAGGCACUGGCCGGGAAAGGGCCCUCGGGGCCGGAUGCUCACCGAUGGUUUGCUGAGGGCCAGCUCUGCUCCCCACCCUCCUUCCUUCCCAAGAAUAAAUAACCCUUGGGAACUCCUUGCACCCUGGCAGAACGUUGUACAUGUAAGGACUUGAGGAGGAGGGCCAAGAGGAGGCUGCUUAGACAUAUCAUGGACUGUUGGGGGAGGGAGCCAUCUCACAGGUUCCGUGUGGUUCUAGAAAGACUGUGUGAGAAUUCUGAACCGUGAACAGAGUAAACAAUAAAGGUGCAAUGGAAAAAAAAAAA